rnacentral:rRNA from 1 species
UCUUGACAUAGUAACUUAUAAUAAAUUUAGCAGAUACCAUUUCAUACCUUUAAUAUGUUUAGUUGGGGUGACGAGAAGUAUGAAACACUUAUUAACGCUCCAAAGAUGAAAGUUUUAAUGACCCGGUUCGCCGAUUAAAAGAUAAAGU